GCCAGAGUAGUAGAAUGUAUAACGCUUUCUCCAGUCCUGUGCUGGUUGAAAAGAUCCAGGUUCAAGUCCUGGCUUUGGCA
rnacentral:tRNA from 1 species